UCCUUCCCUGAAAACGGCACCGUUGUUGGAUUGAAUACUUCCUCCGAUGUCUCUCAAAUCCUCUCCACUUUUCAUCCCCUCUCUCAACUCUGUCUUAGUGUCUCUCGUCUCUUGUCGCUCGUCUCUCAAGUCUCUCGAAUCCUCCUCAAGUCCCUAGCCGUGCCAAUGCGAUUGUGAAAUAGCAUUAUUCUGCCUGCUUGCGAGAGGGGUUUAUUCAGCAACAGCUGGAACAUUGCUUGAUCAUUCAAAGGGUUGUUGGAGAAUGCUAGUAUGCCCCUUGUGCUAGUCAAUGUCCCUUGUGUAGCUUCCUCAAUUCCAUAUUCAACUUUCAAGAUGUGAAGAGUAGUAGCAU